AACGUUGUUUUGUUAAACAGUUUGUUCCGUUGUAAAUCGUUGAAGGAAGUACAGUUUUACUGAAGCGUUCAUAGCAAUAUAAAAUGAAGUUCGCAUUGUUGAUGCUGGUAUUUCUUGUCAUAGCCACAGAUAUCGUGUCUUCCCAAGCAGGAUGUCGUAACUGCGCAUGUUUUCCGACGGGACAAUGGGUUUGUUCAAGUUGUGGUGUGACUUUCAAUAAUGAAUGUUUUAUGCAAUGCUAUGGUCAAUUUUAUGGUUACCAGGGUCAGUGUACAUCUUAACAUGUAUGAUUCACAGCACCAAGUGAAACAGAAAAUUUAAUAAAAUGUAUUGAAAUGUAAAAAUAAAAUAGUUUACGUUCUAUAUAA